UUGUUUAUAAAAAGGACCAUAACAUAUUGCUGCGGGAGAAGUUCCAAGCCCUUCGGCUUUGUUUAAGAUAUGGCUAAUAAUGCACGUCACAAUGUUUUCAUUGCUCUCUUUAUAUUUAUCUUCAUCAUUUUGGUUCUGAUACAGCCGUCAACCUCCGCUCGUUCGCUUCUAUGUAUGUACGAGUACUGAGUUUUUCUUUUUGUUCAUUUUUUUUCCCUUGCUUUGAUAUAUUAUGACUCAAAAUUUGGAGAUGAAUUUAGUAUUAUAAAGGGGCAACUCUUUAAUUAAGUUUGGAUCUUCUGCUCAAGUUGUUUUUUUUUUUUAUUUUUUUUUAUUUUUUAUUUGUUAUCUGUUGUACUGAGUGUUAGAAUAUAAUCAACUUGAAUUCAAGAUAGUUAUUCGAAAUCUUAGGGAAAGAUUGAAUUUUUUAUCUCGUGUACUUUCAUCUGCAAUUCUUCUAAUUUCAUUUAAUUUAGAUAUUUAAAAUAAUUUUUCAUCGUCUGGUACAAAUAAGAAUUAAAUGAAUCAAAUGAAUCCAUGUAAAAACUUAAAAAUUGAGCUUAACAUUCCACUUGAACUCAAUUAUAUCCUGAUUCCUUUUCUUUUUAAUCUCAUUGUAACUGGUAAUCAAUUAACAGAGAAAAAAGAAAAAGAAUUUUGAAUUCUCUUUUUUUUUUUUUUAAUGAAAUUAAUUAUUGAUAUUUGUAGACUGCGCGAUAAGUCCGUGCGGCGGUGGAUCACCACCAGGAGGACCAGGAAAACGCAGAUAAUCGAAUCGAUAUCCCUUCGGAGGCUAACCUGAGGAGGUCAAUAUAAUGUGCAAAUGAUAAACAACUUCACUAGUAUGUUUUAUUUUAUUUUCCUUGGUCUUUUUCCUCGGGUUUGUCUGUUAAAUUCUACAAUUGUAUUAGAAAUAAGUCACUUGCCUUGGUCUGCAAGAGUGUUUUGACUUUCAAUAUUAUUGUCAAAAAAUAUUAAAUAUUUUGUUUUCGCAUAAACUUACUUUGGAAUGCUAACUAUAGUUACUUAGAUACUCCUUCCAUGUCAUUUGACUUUGUUUAAGAUAAUUGCAUAAUUAGAUAAUAAUUGCACUAUUAAAUACUAUUCAUGUAAUUUCAAGAAUUGUUUAAGAUAAUUGCACAAAGAUUAAAGAAAUCAAUAUUACCCACCAACAAGGAGUGAAUUGAGUUAGGUAAACGAUCUCAAUUCUUAUAAGAAUGAAAAUACGUGUUCGAUCCUUAAGAAACUCAUUUUGCUGGGACCGCCAAAAAUAUUUAUGCUCUACGGUCCGAGGGGAUUAUACAUCAUGAUUAUUUAUAUAUAUAAAAAAUCAUUAGCCACAAUAUAUACCAAAAAUACAAGUUGUAAUUAAAUAAAUUAUUUUAAAUAAAAAAUAUUCUCAUUCUUUAUUUAAUAAAGAUAAAAUAAAUUUUCUCAAAAUAAAAGAUAGAAUAAAAUUUAAAUAUCAAAUUAUAUUUAUAAUUUAGCUGGUAGCACAUUUAUAAAUUUAGAAAUAUGAUAUAUGAGGCAUGUGCAAUUAAAAUAAUUAAGAAAUUACUUAUUUAUUUUUAUGAAAUUAAUAAUUUCACUAUAUUAUCAAUCCAAAAAUUACUACAAUUACGAUUUUUAAUCCUUAAAUCAUAGAUAAUAUAAAACAAAAUACGUAAUAUAUAUAUAUAUAUAUAUAUAUAUAUUUUAAACUUCUAUGCCAUGCUUGCGAUUUUUUAGUAUGUAACAAAAAUUAUAUUAUGAAAUUGUUAAUUAUCACAUUUAUUUCAAAAAAUAAAAUUUUAUUUGUGCAACAUUAUUUACUUAGACUGCUGAAAUUUUUUCAAAUUUUUAUUCUUUCUAAAUUUUUUUUAGAGUCACAUGAUGAUUUAAAAAUGAUGAAAAUACUUUUUUUGUUGUAAUCUCAUCCUUAAUUUUCAGUUAGACAAUCAUUAUUAUAAAAGGUCAAAAUUAUGUGAAUUAACAAAAAGAUCAAAAUAAAGUGAAUCUUUGAUGUUCUGUUAUAAUAGACCCAUUUUUUCACAAAAUAUAAACUUUUUUUUUUCAAUUUUGAUGACUUAAAUUUACUUCAAGUCAUCUUAGAAAAUCCCUUUAUGUUAUUGUCACUUCAAAAAUGAAAUUAAUUAUGAUAAUAGUUGCAGGGCCUUCUUGCCAGACGGACGCGUGUGAGAGUGAUCCAAUUCCUGGAGGACCAGGGAGGCGCUGAUAAUCCAGUGCAUAUCCCAUCGGAGGAUUAAAAGUUAAGACAGAAGCCCAAGAUAUUAUGCAAACGACUAGUAGUAUUAUAGACAUAACCAACUCAAUCAUAGUUCUUUUUUUUUUUUUUUCUUUUUUUUUUAAUUUGUUAU
rnacentral:lncRNA from 1 species